UACAGCCAGUUUGAAAUGCCAGUUCUCUAAAUGAUCACCAAAGUUAAGCAAUGUUGAGUCUUAUCAGUACUUAGAUAGGUGACCACUUAGGAAUACCAUGUGCUGUAAG